rnacentral:tRNA from 1 species
GAGGGUAUAGCUUGGUGGUAGAGUGUGUGCUUAGCAUGCACGAGGUCCUAGCUUCAAUCCCCAGUGCCUCCG